rnacentral:rRNA from 1 species
UACGAGAGGCCCAAACGUUAUUCGGAAUUACUGGGCUUAAAGAGUUCGUAGGCGGCGCAGCAAGUAGGGUGUGAAAGCCCUCGGCUUAACCGAGGAAUUGCGCCCUAAACUACUGUGCUUGAGGAACCUAGAGGUGAGCAGAACUGAUGGUGGAGCGGUGAAAUGCGUUGAUAUCAUCAGGAAUACCGGAGGCGAAGGCGGCUCACUGGGGGUUUUCUGACGCUGAGGAACGAAAGCCAGGGUAGCGAACGGG